CAAACCAGCAUUUCCGACAACUGUUCCACGUGAUGGCAGAGUUGAGGAUCUUCGUCUCAUCAAGUCAAGUACGGCGAUUUUUACAUCUACCACCUGUCAACAUUGGUCGGAACCCAUCUCACUUCUUCAAAAGGACCGGAACGCCAGCCUUCAGUCGGGGCACGGCAUAGCUCAAAGAAUGAAGCACUCACCCUUUCUUACGCUGCAGGUUCUGCUUGUUGCGACAAGCUUAUCGGAAUCAUCACGCUUCAAACCAGCAUUUCCGACAACUGUUCCACGUGAUGGCAGAGUUGAGGAUCUUCGUCUGAUCAAGUCAAGUACGGCGAUUUUGACAUCCACCACCUGUCAACAUUGGUCGGAACCCAUCUCACUUCUUCAAAAGGACCGGAACGCCAGCCUUCAGUCAGGGCCCGGCAUCGCUCAAAGAAUGAAGCACUCACCCUUUCUUACGCUGCAGGGGCAACUUUCGCAGCACCUGAGCGAAUACUCAGACGUACCUGUCCAGAAUUGCCUUUCGAGUAUGACUCCAAUAGAGCGGAUGUGGAAUCAUGCAUUUAUAUUUGCCGUGACCAAGGAUUCUUCCGUUACUACGGGUACUUGUCGCCACAAUAUAACUGUGCAGGCACACAGGAUGGUGCAAAGUUUUCCGGGAAAUGCAGCGAAGGCACUUGCAAAAAUGCGUCACGAGUCGACUCGUUCUUGGUGAAGAUGUGUGGCGACAAGAAUAUCACGGCUUACGGGCAUAGAGGAAACAGGAUUCUGCCAAAAUCGUGUAUGUACGGAUGUGGACCAUACAAGAAGGGUAGACUGCAUUACGGACAUCUUCCAGAUGGAGUCGGAUGUUGGGCCCGAAGUUCCAUAAAUCGGUCAUACAACCCUGGGUCGUAUUACAGGGGGAAGUGCAGCAACGGAGUCUGUCAAUAGCUUCAUCUGGCCAAGAACACUUCUCUGGAUGCCGUCAUUCGACUAGUGCAGUGUUGAGUCAUUCAAUAAAGACCUUAGUGAAAGGGU